AGUAACGGCGAGUGAAGCGGCAAGAGCUCAAAUUUGAAAGCUGGCUCCUUCGGGGUCCGCAUUGUAAUUUGCAGAGGAUGCUUCGGGAGCGGCCCCCAUCUAAGUGCCCUGGAACGGGCCGUCAUAGAGGGUGAAAAUCCCGUCUGGGAUGGGGUGUCCGCGCCCGUGUGAAGCUCCUUCGACGAGUCGAGUUGUUUGGGAAUGCAGCUCUAAAUGGGUGGUAAAUUUCAUCUAAAGCUAAAUAUUGGCCGGAGACCGAUAGCGCACAAGUAGAGUGAUCGAAAGAUGAAAAGCACUUUGAAAAGAGAGUUAAACAGCACGUGAAAUUGUUGAAAGGGAAGCGCUUGCGACCAGACUCGCCCACGGGGUUCAGCCGGCAUUCGUGCCGGUGUACUUCCCCGCGGGCGGGCCAGCGUCGGUUUGGGCGGCCGGUCAAAGGCCCUCGGAAUGUAACGCCCCCCGGGGCGUCUUAUAGCCGAGGGUGCCAUGCGGCCAGCCCAGACCGAGGAACGCGCUUCGGCUCGGACGCUGGCAUAAUGGUCGUAAGCGACCCGUCUU
rnacentral:rRNA from 1 species